rnacentral:lncRNA from 1 species
GGAAAGCAACUGAUCUCUUCUUCAUGGUGACCAGCACCAGGGAACAGCAUGAAGCUGCAGCAGGAGAGGUUCAGGCUAGAUAUCAGGAAAAGGUUCUUCUCUGAAGGGGUGGCUCUGCCACCCCUUCAGAGCCAACAGGCUCCUCAGAGAAAUAGCCAUGGCCUCAGUCAUGAGUUCAGGAAGUGUUUGGACACUGCUCUCAGACACAUGGUUUAAUUUUUAGGUAGUCCCAUGUGUAGCCAUGAAUUGGACUCGAUGAUCCUUGUGGCAAUCCUCCCCUCCAACUUUGAAUAUCCUGUUCUGUUCUAUCCUGGAAAUCCGGAAUGGGUAGGGUGUGUUGAGCAAAAGAAUUCAUCUGCAAGAGGAGAAAGAGGUGCUCAAAGUUGCAGUGGAAAAGUAGAAAUUCCAGGAAUAGAGAGCUACACACAAGAGGCUGGUUAUUAGGAAGCUGGGGACCUUCAUACCAGUUUUCCUUGGCCCUGUGGGCACCCAGGAGCUGUUUUCUGAUGGCUGGAGCCAGACAGUCACAGUGUUAAGGCAGCUCUCCUUCUGUAACCUGCCCAUGAUGGUUCCCAACAGUUGCAUGGCCUCAGGCUGUUAUCACACCACACAUCACUGAGCUUGACUGAGCCUAAGCCACCCACACAGCUAAAGGGCUCCCAGUGUCAUGCAUCCUUCAGAACUGAUGCUCGUGUAACACCUGACACAGUGUCCAAAAUUCUAUCUCUUGCCUUCCUGUCUUUAUGACAGUAGCAGUCUUCAUCAAGAAAAAUUACAAAAUUCAGUGUCUUUCAUGUGGCUGUUUAUUGUUAAUUCCUUUUUUUUUUUUUCCUACUAGCAAUUGAUGUUUAAUUUAGCAAUAUAAAUCAGGUACAAUAGAAUUGAAUUUACAUGACAGUCAAAUGUUGUCAGACAGGGAAAAAUUAUGGGAAGUAACAGCAUAAAGACUAUGAACAAAACUCUCUAAUCUGCAAAGAUUUGGCAGUUUGUUUGUUACCUCAGCAACAUCUGACACGUAGGGAAGGAAAAUAACAGCACUGGUGGAGCCCACCUGAAACAAGAAUGUAUUUGAGUUAAUUACCGUGCAGCUAUGUCACAAGCUUCUCUUGAGAACUGACAAUCUAAAGCAGGCAAAAGAAAUGAUGGAUGAGAAAGAACUUUAAUUUUCUUAUGCCAUCUCUCUGAUUAACACUUUAUGUCAAGCUAUUUUAAACAAAUACAGUAAUUCUAGAUUGCUUUUGCCCAUGUAAAACCUUCUGAGAAUUUUCACAGAGAAACGACUCAAGGGACAACUGGAGUUACAUUCAAUUCAAUCUGCAGAAUAGGAACUGCUAUAGUAGCAUCAAGAGAUGGCUUCAACCAAACACUCAUUCUCAGCCUCUUCAUUGCUUCUGAUAUGGUAAAA